rnacentral:rRNA from 1 species
CCCUUAGAUGUCUUGGGCUGCACGCGUGCUACAAUAGUGUUUACACCGUUUGAUUUUUCAGGUAUGAAAGAUAAUUCCAGAAUGGACAAUGUAGUGGGGAUAAUUGAUUUGAAUUUUUCAAUUUCAACGAGGAAUUCCUAGUAAGUGUAGAAAAUCAUUCUGCAUUGAUUACGUCCCUGCCCUUUGUACACACCGCCCGUCGCUCCUACCGAUUGAGCAUUCCGGUGAGCACACUAGAAAUCACGUAAUGUAAUUGAAGAUGUGUGAACCUUGGUGUUUAGAGGAAGGAGAAGUCGUAACA